AGGGAUACAAUAGCUUGGUAGCGCGUUUGUUUUGGGUACAAAAUGCCACGGGUUCAAAUCCUGUCAUCCCUA
rnacentral:tRNA from 1 species